rnacentral:rRNA from 1 species
AUGGACGACGACCUCGAUGCCGCCGCCGGCCUCGCCUCAUCCAGCCUCAACCCCGCCCCCUCCGGCAAAAGCAAGCCCCGCGCCCCCCACAAGACCGCCACACCGCCCAAGAAGAAGAAGCAGCUGAUGCCGGCGGAGCGGGCCUUGGAGUUGGCCAAGAGGAAGGGCCGGAGGCACACGGCUAACGCAAGGGACGAAGCAGCGGCUGUCACCGCCCUCACCGUCGCCGCACAGCAGGAGGAAACAAACACCCAAAUAGUUGUGGCGACAAGCGAGGCCCUGAUCUGCCUAGGGUUUAACCCUGGCCAGCACUGGCUCGUCAGCGCCGCCGUGGCCGCGGCCAACAUCGGCUUGUCCGGGUUCCCUUCAUGUCACAUUUAUGUUCUCUCACAUGGUUCCUUUUUAUGUUUUACCAGCUGGGGUUUUGGUGGAUAUGGAAGGUUGGGCCACCAUAAACAGAAAGAUGAGUGGCAACCACGCCUCGUUGAAAUAUUUCAAAAGAACAAUAUCCUAUCUCCCAGUGAUAUUAUCUCAGCUGGUUCUGCAAGUUCUGCGUGCACAGCCGGUGGUCGUGGGCAGCUGUAUGCGUGGGGAAAGUUGAAGAACUGGGGCGAUGAGUGCAUGUAUCCAAAGCCAAUGAUUUGUUUGCUUCAGCGGUUGGAACAUCCGCUGCAUGGCUUCUGGCGACAUGCACCAUUUGGUGCAGAGGAUUCUUGCAUAAGUUGGGGUCUUUCUGAAUAUGGAGAGCUUGGUUAUGGCCCUACACAAAAGUCAUCUGUAAAUCCUAAAAAGGUUGACAUUCUUGAAGGAAUGCAUAUUACAAGGUAA